CAAGAUCGUAAAUAAAUUCUUUUCUCCUCCAGAACCGAGAGAGCGUUUAUUCCCUUACAGUUGCUGAGUUGGAGACUGAAGAAUCAGGAGCAAGGAUUAAGUGAGAAGACUCUUGGAUGUAAAAAGAAGCAACAUCUUUGGAAAACUCAUGUUGCCAAGGAAAUCUGGAAAUGUUUUUAUUGCUGCUUGGUCUUGAGAAUGAGGCAGACUAUCAAGCCAUAUCAAAAAUCUUCUGGAAGAAUGUGGUUCCAAAUUAAAUGUCACCAUGCCAUGAGGAAGCCCAAGCAGUCUGUGGAGAGACCCACAUGGAAAGCAAUCUAGGCCCAGCCUGGCUGGGCUCCCAGCUGUCCACCAGCACCUACUUCCGAGCUAUGUUUUAUAGAGAAGACCACAAGAAGAAAGCCACAGGGAAUGAGCCAAAAGCUGGAAAUGGAUUGGACCUGGAGGAGAAAGGAGAAGACAUCACCAUGUGCAAUGCCAUGUGACAGAAAAGCCAAGGAACCCCAAGGAACACUGGCAGCUGUCCCCAGUGUGCCACAGUCUUCCGGCAGAAAGCAUCACAUUGCUGAUUCCUUGAUUUUGGACUUCUAGCCUCAAAACUAUGA